CGUUUUGAUCUGCUCUGUCUCUCUGCGACUUCUUGAUGAAGUGAGUCUAAGAGUUUUUUGUGAGCUGCCUGUCGGCGCUCACAAAAAACUCUGCCCCUGUGGUGAGGUUGUGUUACGUAAGUUAUGAUUUUGCGCUAUGUUGACUAAUAAUAAUCUAGUGUGCAAAUAUGUUCCGUGCACAAAACCCAGUGUAAACCCGAUUGAAUGUAAACACUCAGAAAUGCUAAAGGGCAUAAACUUGAAAAUAAGAAACCCACAUAAAUUUUCUGUCACACGAGAGUGACAGCGACCACAUCCGCUGCAAGAGUGAACGAAAGCCGACGGACUAAGUGAAAAUCGGGCUGACCUGUGGCUCAUCGCGUGUGUUACCGUUGCAUGCUCGCAAAAAAAAGGUGAACCGGAACGCAUUGACCGGCAUCAUCAAAGGUGCACAGAAGAAGCGUGACAGAACACAGAAUUAGCGCGGCAAAGUCCUGGAACAACCACACAACGUGUGUUGGUUUGGCGCAAGCAUCGAAAUUCCGGGAGGGCAGACAUCCAGCACCAGUGUCGAUUACCACACGAUCGAUCGACUUGGGGAGCGCACUGAGGGGAUCUCGCACGGCGUCGUUCUUUCCGGACACGGUCCACAUCCGACCAACAGAAGUGCUUUCCCAGGAAGCUAAAGUGAACACACAUUGUUGGCGAUCGGAGAAGCAAACUGACGGGAUCCCGCACGCCAUCACUCUUUCGGAACGUGGUCCACAUUUGAGCAACAGAAGAGCCUUCCCAGGAAGGCUCUUUCUUUUGUGCUUUCUGCAGCUAGACACGCUGAUCAAGAGCAACGGCUCCCCGAACGAGAAGCAAAGAGCGACGACGAUUGAGGUGAGGGACUACCGAGGGAUCCGAGUAAGGACCACACUGCGUGAGAGGUAGGAGGCGAAAAGCGUUCGAGUGGCGUAAACCAGCUCAUUCGAGAGGCGGUGUGCAGGGAUCACACUCGGUCAGCUCCUAGCAGCGGGGGCGAGGUAAAUCUAAUUCCUCUUCGGCCGACAUAGCGCCCCAUCUGCGAGGUACCUGUGGAUCGACGAGCCCUUGACACAGACAGGGGUCCCCAACUCACCUUCGACGGGCAGGUCUGGUUGAUGACAGGUAUGCGGAGAGAUGCACGAAGCAAAGGUAGCAGCAGACGUGAGUGCUAGGAUUAAGAACAUGUAAAAGGGAAGAAGAGAAGCAUGCAUAGUGAGCAGGAGAGUAGGGCCGCAGAAAGAAGCAUGGAGGGUAUGAAGCACAAUAAUAAAAUGUUUGCACACUAAGUCUUGUUUUG